CCCCCCGAGGGGAAAUUCCCCACCCGCCGCGAUCGUCUGGAUCGGACCACAGCAGAUCACACAUGGGCCCCUGGCAAAUGGAGUAAAACGCAGGGCUUCUCAGAGCGGGCCCGCCCUGGACCUGGUUUUCCUGGAAACCCCUUCCCAGAUCUCUCCUAAGGCAGAGAACAUCAACUAGAACUUCUUCAGUACGUGAGCAGGUGCUGAAACCUCAAUUCCGAACCCAGGACGGGCUACGCAGCAGUCCCUGGCAUGGGGCCACCAGGGAUAUGCAAUCAAGCUGACGAUCCUAGGUCCCAGGAUCCAUAGACGCCUUUGAGAGAGCUGAGGUCUGAGCUGCCCGUGGAGUCAAUCUACUGGCUGUUCUUUGGGAAUCACACAUCGUACCUGUCCGUCGACUAAAGCGGUAAGUGGAAGAUAAUCAAAAAGAUCUGUAAAAUACUUCCAAACAUUGGCGUUUCCAUACUUCCGUAAACAUUCAUCGUAAAAGCCAUACACUUGUGUAAUUUGUCGGCUCUCGUGGUUUCCCCUUAAUAUCGUAAUGCGUUCUGGAUAGCGCACCUGGAAAGAGAAAAGGAAGAGUGACGAAUACGCAGACCCUCUCCUCCGUACAGUUUGGGCUACUUUUAGAUGAAUUCCCAGUUUUUCUCAGUGGUCCAGCCCCAAACUCCCCAUCCAGCCAAUGUGCAGCGGCCCGGCCCCGACCUCCCCGUCUAGCCAAUGUGCCAUCUCCAAGAGGACUAGAGAAGUCUACACAUACCAGAUGAGGUGUGGAAAUUCCCAAAGGGCCCACGGGCUAAAAUAAUGGCCCCUCCUUGCCUGGGUGCAUGCACCUUUUUCCCCCCGCUACAAUUCCCAACAGGCUCAACAACAAUUCCGUCUCCGGAUGGUCAUAGCCAACCCACUUCCCGAUGCUCCAUCAUCCAGCGCUUAGAACAGUGCUCGGCACAAAAUGUGGAGGAUGGGAGCAAGCGGGGAGAGAACGGAGGGAAGGAAGAGAAGAAACUCCGCUGUGCCAGAUAAGUGUGAACAUCGAUCCACUUUAGCAACCCAUGUAAGACAGCCAUGUCUGUUGAAUCCCUGCUAGGUCAGUGAACACCAAAAAGACAGAAGUGGUGGGGCUACCCUGCCUACCCGCCAUAGCCAGGCUGGGCGUCAGGGUCCCCAGUGCUGGGGCAGCUGCCCGGCACAGAUUUCCAUCCUGCUCUAUCCCCGGGUUUCUGCAGGAGCUCUAAAAAGCUGUCACCUGAGCCAGAAACUCUGGAACAUUUAUUUGCCGGGUAUUUUCAGUAGGCAGCAUCGAAAUGUUUCCAUAUUCAAUUACUCCAGGCUGAGUGUGGGAAAUCAAGGUUGGGCUAACUUCUCCUGCAACAGUUCACGUGAACCAACCAAACCAAGGUGGGAGGCCGGACCUCUAGAGGCGGGCGAAUCAGUGGCUCCGGUCAAGAGGAGUCUUUCCAAACCUCAAGCCCCGGUGAAAUGAAAUCAUUCGAGUGCCUUCUUUAAAAUUCCGGGCGGGCCAACGGGUUGCUUACAGAUUCUGGGGAAAGUUAGCCUCAGGAUGGCGACCUCACUGCCCGAGUGGAGGGAGUCCAAAUCUGCCCAAGUGGCCCUGCUUGCUCUAGGGAGAAGAGGCUGUGGUCUGAGUACCCUGGGACAGCUGGAGCCCAUCUGACUCUUCCGGGCCAAUCUCCAGCCAAAACACAGCAUCGCAGAGGGCUUCCCAAGGACCUCACCACCCCCGACUCAACACUCUUCUUUUAGCCCUCUUCUACCUCAAGAUGGCGCUACACAGGUGACCUCGGGAUAAACACCGCCUCCCUACCAUCAUCAUCAUCAACAUCGUCAUCAUCAACAGUGGUAUUUAUU